AGUGCAGUAGAUUCACUUACAGAGAGUGAAUUUUAUACAGACAAUCCAAAACUACAAAUGUACUUUAAUAAUGCCUGGUGGCCACAAAAAGAGGUCAUUUAUUUUUCUAGCUGUAUUAAAAACAUUGCAUGUUUGAUUAAGUACUAUUUUAUCUGUGGGCUAAUAAUCUAAUAUUUAUUAUUUCCUUACAUUUUAAAAAUAUUUCAAACACACUCACAGAGAUGGGUUUCACUUUACCGAUUGGGGAAAAUGCGUGUGCCAAUUGGUACGAACAACGGGGUUGAGAGACAAAACAAAAUGCUCAAGGAAUGUCAUUUAAAGUUUCAAGUUGACAAAUCUUUAUCUGGCUUGUUAAAAGUGCUUCAUCAUGACUUUUUCCUCAGCCAUU